UUUUCUAUUUUCCAGCUUAUUCGCUUUAUUUUUUAUUCUUUUUUAACGUUUAGAAAAGGUGCAGGUGGCCAGUGUUCAAUACAGCUGCAGGGAAUGUUGGUGAUAGCAGCUGUCAUCUGUAUUUCCCAAAUGGGCUUUGAAGAAACACUGACUUUGGGGUAUCUGGAAAAAAAAAAAGAUUCUGUGUUUAAAUAAGUUGGGGAAACGUUACUUAGCUUCCUACUUUGGUCCUCCAAGAUUCUCUAGAUCAAGGUACAUUAGCUUAUUAAAGAUACUGAGAAGAGCUGGGGUCAAAACAAACACAAAAACCACUUUAACUUCAUUAAAACAAUUUUUUUCCAAGUUGAUUUGAUUAUGGAACAGUCCCUCCCCCAUAUUUUUUGUGAUAUCCAUUAAAGUUCCACAAAAUUCAUGUUCUUUGGAAAACACCUUGGGAACUACUAAUUGAACCCAAUUUCUGAAUUUUACUGCUGAAAAAACAGAGGUCCUGGGAGGGGCUGAAGUUCUUACAGGUGGUUAGGGGGGAAGCUAGGACUAGAACCCCACUUCCUGACUGCCUGGUCCAAGCUGAUCAACCACACCUAACGAAAAAGGCAUUUCCUAAGGUGUGGCCUAGGAUGCCAGGCAUCAUGGGUAGUUCUUGAGGUGAUGCUUAAAAAGGAUGUGAACAUGUUACUCCAUGAUGGGUUCUUUUGGGGUAAGUUGCUAAAAGAUAGAGAUUAUUUUAGAUGCUUUUAAAAAUGGGUAAUCAUAUCCUACUCUUUUGUUAUCUCAUAGAUCUUGAGGUGCUUAUCCAUUGCAACCUGGGUAUGCCAUAGGUGCUUAAUAAAUAUAUUAAAUGAAUGAGUAAAUGAAAGAAUCUAGCAGGAGUCAGAGGAGGUUGGUGGCAGGAAGGAAGGAGGAAAGGGUCAGGAACUGGAAGAGAGAGAAAAGGCAAAAUGUGGAGAAAGAGAGGGAUGAAUGAAAAAUAGGAGCCAGCAGUUACUCAUCAGUGGAGGAUAGUUAAGCCCUGGCAGAGAAAGGAAAGGAGACAGCUGCAGGUGACAGGAAAAAAACCACCAAAACACAAAAAAACCAAAAAACACCACACUGGGUGACCAGGAAGCUUUGCUUUUAAAAAGUAAAAGUGGGAGCCAGUCGGUGGUGCAGUGGUUAAGUUUGCACGUUCUGCUUCGGCGGCCCAGGGUUUCCCAGUUGGGAUCCUGGGUGCAGACAUGGCACUGCUUGGCAACCCAUGCUGUGGCAGGCGUCCCACAUAUAAAGUAGAGGAAGAUGGGCACAGAUGUUAGCUCAGAGCCAGUCUUCCUCAGCAAAAAGAGGAGAUUGGCGGCAGAUGUUAGCUCAGGGCUAAUCUUCCUCAAAAAAAACCAAAAAAAGUAAAAGUGACUCAUGAGGCUAAUUCAGAUGCUGGCCAUGCCAGGAGGUCCCAGCCCAGGAAAUGGAGAUGAGCAUCAACUGCUGAGGACCUUUGUGAACUCAGAACAAAGUGUAUUUAUUGCACAG
rnacentral:lncRNA from 1 species